CGUCACCGCUUACGCCGGAAGCUCCCGUGUUUCCGCGUCUCCCAGGGGGAUACUGCGGGUGGAGCUGCCGAAAGUGCUGGUAAAGAUUUCCCAAGACCAAAAAGCUUACGUGCACUGCCCCAUUCCACUGUUUCUGCUGCUGGUUCUGCUUUGACUCUCCCAGAAGAAAACCAGGGUUGUCACUGGAAGUUCCUGAAGUAAUCUCCUUUUCAAGCAAACUUUGAUUAUUAUACUAUUUGGUAAUACACAAUAUUGGCAACAAUGCAACAAAACGGACACACUCUACUCUCCAGCGGGAGUCACAGAAAUAUUUUUAAGAAUUUCUGACUACAGAAAAUUGGUUUCUUAAUUCCCUGUGCCAAGUUCAGAAAUAUACCCUCAUGGAACAAGAUAACUAAAAGAAGGAAACUACUUCAAGGUUAGAAAAAGGAAAAGAAAAGAAAGAAGAAAGGAAAGAAGCAGAAGGAAGAACUCUGCUGCAGUAUUGGAAGCAGGCAGGUUAUUUAAAUUAUAGUGGUGCCAUGGAACAAGAGAAGGCAGAUGAAGAGUGACACCUUUCAAGUUAACACAGUGGACAUGCGGGUUAUUUCCACCUCUUGGCUGUUGGAAAUUCAUUACCUUUUGAGUCAAGGAAUCACAAGCUAUUUUGACUGAAGUGUCCUGUUAAGAACAGGUGAAGAAAGAUUCCAGGAACAGUUAACAAUAGAAUCCUUAAGAUUCAGAACUCUUUGCUGUUUACCAGCAACAGACGAGAGGAAGAAGUGGCUCUGGGGACAUUGUGUGCCAGUCUGCGGCAGGUUGGCUGGAGAAGCAACCCUGGUUGCAGCUUUGGAGAGAGAGAUGUGCAUUUACUUUUACCUGGAAAACCUAUGAAAAAAAAUUCUUGUAAAUCUGUCGUUUGUGUAUCCUCAAGGUUUGUGCCAGAAAGCAGGUAUAUCUGCUCCUGUGUGUAAUUGUUGUUAAAAAACACAAAAAGGAAAUAAAAGUGCACAACAUACCUGGCAGAAUUGACCAGAGGGAAUUGGGAAAGGCUAAAGUAAAUUCUUCUAAAAAAUAAGCAAGCAAGGGAGAGGAGCGUGGAGGAGCAAGUGCUCUCCCUGUGCUGGGG